GACAGAGGUCUCAAGCGUUAGGCGGAAUCACUGGGCUUAAAGCGUGUGUAGGCGGAUCGUUAAGUGUCUUGUGAAAUCCCACGGCUCACCCGGGGAACGGCUGGGCAUACUGGCGAUCUUGGGCCAACUAGGGGCAACUGGAACAAGCGGUGGAGCGGUGAAAUGCGUAGAUAUCGCUUGGAACGCCGAAGGUGAAAACAGGUUGCUGGGGUUGUGCCGACGCUGAGACACGAAAGCCAGGGGAGCAAACGGG
rnacentral:rRNA from 1 species